rnacentral:rRNA from 1 species
UACAGAGGUCCCGAGCGUUGUUCGGAUUCAUUGGGCGUAAAGGGUGCGUAGGUGGCGCUGUAAGUGGGGUGUGAAAUCCCGGGGCUUAACUCCGGAACUGCAUUCCAUACUGCGGUGCUUGAGGACUGGAGAGGAGACUGGAAUUUACGGUGUAGCAGUGAAAUGCGUAGAGAUCGUAAGGAAGACCAGUGGCGAAGGCGGGUCUCUGGACAGUUCCUGACACUGAGGCACGAAAGCGUGGGGAGCGAACAGG